CGGUUAAGUUAGAAAGGGCGCACGGUGGAUGCCUUGGCACUAGGAGCCGAUGAAGGACGGGACGAACACCGAUAUGCUUCGGGGAGCUGUAAGCAAGCUUUGAUCCGGAGAUUUCCGAAUGGGGAAACCCACCACUCGUAAUGGAGUGGUAUCCAUAUCUGAAUACAUAGGAUAUGAGAAGGCAGACCCGGGGAACUGAAACAUCUAAGUACCCGGAGGAAGAGAAAGCAAAUGCGAUUCCCUGAGUAGCGGCAGCGAAACGGAUCAGCCCAAACCAAGAGGCUUGCCUCUUGGGGUUGUAGGACACUCUGUACGGAGUUACAAAGGAACGAGGUAGAUGAAGAGGUCUGGAAAGGCCCGCCAUAGGAGGUAACAGCCCUGUAGUCAAAACUUCGUUCUCUCCUGAGUGGAUCCUGAGUACGGCGGAACACGUGAAAUUCCGUCGGAAUCCGGGAGGACCAUCUCCCAAGGCUAAAUACUCCUAGUGACCGAUAGUGAACCAGUACCGUGAGGAAAGGUGAAAAGCACCCCGGAAGGGAGUGAAAGAGAUCCUGAAACCGUGUGCCUACAAGUAGUCAGAGCCCGUUAACGGGUGAUGGCGUGCCUUUGUAGAAUGAACCGGCGAGUUACGAUCCCGUGCAAGGUUAAGCAGAAGAUGCGGAGCCGCAGCGAAAGCGAGUCUGAAUAGGGCGAAUUGAGUACGUGGUCGUAGACCCGAAACCAGGUGAUCUACCCAUGUCCAGGGUGAAGUUCAGGUAACACUGAAUGGAGGCCCGAACCCACGCACGUUGAAAAGUGCGGGGAUGAGGUGUGGGUAGGGUGAAAUGCCAAUCGAACCUGGAGAUAGCUGGUUCUCUCCGAAAUAGCUUUAGGGCUAGCCUCAAGGUAAGAGUCUCGGAGGUAGAGCACUGAUUGGACUAGGGGCCCCUACCGGGUUACCGAAUUCAGUCAAACUCCGAAUGCCGAUGACUUAUCCUUGGGAGUCAGACUGCGAGUGAUAAGAUCCGUAGUCGAAAGGAAACAGCCCAGACCGCCAGCUAAGGUCCCAAAGUAUACGUUAAGUGGAAAAGGAUGUGGAGUUGCUUAGACAACCAGGAUGUUGGCUUAGAAGCAGCCACCAUUUAAAGAGUGCGUAAUAGCUCACUGGUCGAGUGACUCUGCGCCGAAAAUGUACCGGGGCUAAACGUAUCACCGAAGCUGCGGACUGUUCUUCGAACAGUGGUAGGAGAGCGUUCUAAGGGCUGUGAAGCAAGACCGGAAGGACUUGUGGAGCGCUUAGAAGUGAGAAUGCCGGUAUGAGUAGCGAAAGAGGGGUGAGAAUCCCCUCCACCGAAUGCCUAAGGUUUCCUGAGGAAGGCUCGUCCGCUCAGGGUUAGUCGGGACCUAAGCCGAGGCCGAAAGGCGUAGGCGAUGGAUAACAGGUUGAUAUUCCUGUACCACCUCCUCACCAUUUGAGCAAUGGGGGGACGCAGGAGGAUAGGGUAAGCGCGGUAUUGGAUAUCCGCGUCCAAGCAGUUAGGCUGGGAAAUAGGCAAAUCCGUUUCCCGUGAAGGCUGAGCUGUGAUGGCGAGCGAAUUAUAGUAGCGAAGUUCCUGAUUCCACACUGCCAAGAAAAGCCUCUAGCGAGGUGAGAGGUGCCCGUACCGCAAACCGACACAGGUAGGCGAGGAGAGAAUCCUAAGGUGAUCGAGAGAACUCUCGUUAAGGAACUCGGCAAAAUGACCCCGUAACUUCGGGAGAAGGGGUGCUCUGUUAGGUGCAAGCCCGAGAGAGCCGCAGUGAAUAGGCCCAGGCGACUGUUUAGCAAAACACAGGUCUCUGCGAAGCCGUAAGGCGAAGUAUAGGGCUGACGCCUGCCCGGUGCUGGAAGGUUAAGAGGAGCGCUUAGCGUAAGCGAAGGUGCGAAUUGAAGCCCCAGUAAACGGCGGCCGUAACUAUAACGGUCCUAAGGUAGCGAAAUUCCUUGUCGGGUAAGUUCCGACCCGCACGAAAGGCGCAACGAUCUGGGCACUGUCUCAACGAGAGACUCGGUGAAAUUAUAGUACCUGUGAAGAUGCAGGUUACCCGCGACAGGACGGAAAGACCCCGUGGAGCUUUACUGCAGCCUGAUAUUGAAUGUUGGUACAGCUUGUACAGGAUAGGUAGGAGCCUUGGAAACCGGAGCGCCAGCUUCGGUGGAGGCAUCGGUGGGAUACUACCCUGGCUGUAUUGACCUUCUAACCCGCCGCCCUUAUCGGGCGGGGAGACAGUGUCAGGUGGGCAGUUUGACUGGGGCGGUCGCCUCCUAAAAGGUAACGGAGGCGCCCAAAGGUUCCCUCAGAAUGGUUGGAAAUCAUUCGCAGAGUGUAAAGGCACAAGGGAGCUUGACUGCGAGACCUACAAGUCGAGCAGGGACGAAAGUCGGGCUUAGUGAUCCGGUGGUUCCGCAUGGAAGGGCCAUCGCUCAACGGAUAAAAGCUACCCCGGGGAUAACAGGCUUAUCUCCCCCAAGAGUCCACAUCGACGGGGAGGUUUGGCACCUCGAUGUCGGCUCAUCGCAUCCUGGGGCUGUAGUCGGUCCCAAGGGUUGGGCUGUUCGCCCAUUAAAGCGGUACGCGAGCUGGGUUCAGAACGUCGUGAGACAGUUCGGUCCCUAUCCGUCGCGGGCGCAGGAAAUUUGAGAGGAGCUGUCCUUAGUACGAGAGGACCGGGAUGGACGCACCGCUGGUGUACCAGUUGUUCUGCCAAGGGCAUCGCUGGGUAGCUAUGUGCGGACGGGAUAAGUGCUGAAAGCAUCUAAGCAUGAAGCCCCCCUCAAGAUGAGAUUUCCCAUUCCGCAAGGAAGUAAGAUCCCUGAAAGAUGAUCAGGUUGAUAGGUCUGAGGUGGAAGUGUGGCGACACAUGGAGCUGACAGAUACUAAUCGAUCGAGGACUUAACCAAUUU
rnacentral:rRNA from 1 species